CCUAUUUUUUUUUCUUUCUUUUUUUUGUUUUUUUUCCAUUUGUGUCGAGCCGCGCGCGUAGUCGAAGAUCGAAGGGCCUGCGGAGGAGACGACAACUUCCGGUAAAUAAGUGUACUUCCGGCAAGCAUCGGCCAAAGCGAAACGGAACCCGAAGCUGUCCUUGCACAAAAUCCGUCAGAAUUGUUGAUUUAAAACCAGAAGAUGUGAUAACUUUGACAUACAUGUU
rnacentral:lncRNA from 1 species